UACGGGGGGGGCAAGCGUUGUUCGGAAUUACUGGGCGUAAAGGGCUCGUAGGCGGCCAACUAAGUCGGACGUGAAAUCCCUCGGCUUAACCGGGGAACUGCGUCCGAUACUGGAUGGCUUGAGUUCGGGAGAGGGAUGCGGAAUUCCAGGUGUAGCGGUGAAAUGCGUAGAUAUCGGAAGGAACACCUGUGGCGAAAGCGGCUCACUGGACCAUAACUGACGCUGAUGCACGAAAGCUAGGGGAGCAAACAGG
rnacentral:rRNA from 1 species